GUCGAGAAUAAUUCACAAUGGGGGCAACCCUGAUGGUGCAACGCCGCGUGGAGGAUGAAGGUCUUCGGAUUGUAAACUCCUGUCAUCCGGGAGCAAGACCUGGCCGUGAAUAGCGGACAGGGUUGAUAGUACCGGAAGAGGAAGGGACGGCUAACUUCGUGCCAGCAGCCGCGGUAAUACGAAGGUCCCGAGCGUUGUUCGGAAUCACUGGGCGUAAAGGGAGCGUAGGCGGCGCGGUAAGUCAGAUGUGAAAUCCUAGGGCUCAACCCUGGAACUGCAUCCGAUACUGCUGUGCUUGAGCAAUGGAGAGGUAGCCGGAAUUCUCGGUGUAGCAGUGAAAUGCGUAGAUAUCGAGAGGAACACUCGUGGCGAAAGCGGGCUACUGGACAUUUGCUGACGCUGAGGCUCGAAGGCCGGGGGAGCGAAAGGGAUUAGAAACCCUAGUAGUCC
rnacentral:rRNA from 1 species